CGCCCUUAGCUUUCCCUUCCCCACGCCUCCCCCAUCAACCCUCCCUAAGCCGGCAGGCAGUCUCAGCCGUUCCAGAAAUUGACAAAGAAGUUGCAGAGGGAGUGCCACUUCUCAGCGCACCGCGAGGAGGCAACCACUCAGCAGCAGCAGCAGCGACGGCGACAGCGACGCUCGCAGCUUCGGAGGAGUCAUGCUCCGCGGUUUCCGCGCUCCGCUGUUCUCAGACCACGUUUGUCGGGGCUGGACCAGGCAAAGAGCAUUCCCCAGGACCUGCGGACAGAGGCAGAGACUGCCACCAACUGAGCCACACGCAGCGCUUCGCCCAGACACAUGCACCUGCGAACUACUCUUCCGCAGACUUUCUAGAAUCUGCAGCCUGCGAGGAGACCCUCUGAGGAGCUUUCCUGGGGAAACUGCUUACUGUCUAAAUAAUCACUUUCGAACCAUGUAUGCAUUGAGAUUUUCUUCCCCUUGCAAAUACGAUAGCAAAACGAUGCGUGAUAAUUGCCCCCUCUACCCCUUCCUUCAUUUUCUCCCUUCUCCAACCUGCAAUAAACUAUCUACAAAAUCA
ensembl:lncRNA novel transcript, antisense to FGFBP3